rnacentral:rRNA from 1 species
AAGCACUUUUUUAGAACUCUUCGGAGGGAAGAGAGGGUGACUUAGCGGCGGACGGGUGAGUAACGCGUGGGCAACCUGCCUUACACAGGGGGAUAACAAUUAGAAAUGAUUGCUAAUACCGCAUAAGACCCCAGUACCGCAUGGUACAGGGGUAAAAACUGAGGUGGUGUAAGAUGGGCCCGCGUCUGAUUAGGUAGUUGGUGGGGUAGAAGCCUACCAAGCCGACGAUCAGUAGCCGACCUGAGAGGGCGACCGGCCACAUUGGGACUGAGACACGGCCCAAACUCCUACGGGAGGCAGCAGUGGGGAAUAUUGCACAAUGGGGGAAACCCUGAUGCAGCGACGCCGCGUGAGUGAGGAAGCAUUUCGGUAUGCAAAGCUCUAUCAGCAGGGAAGAAAAUGACGGUACCUGACUAAGAAGCCCCGGCUAACUACGUGCCAGCAGCCGCGGUAAUACGUAGGGGGCAAGCGUUAUCCGGAUUUACUGGGUGUAAAGGGAGCGUAGACGGAAUUGCAAGUCUGAUGUGAAAAUCCGGGGCCCAACCCCGGAACUGCAUUGGAAACUGUAUUUCUAGAGUGUCGGAGAGGCAAGUGGAAUUCCUGGUGUAGCGGUGAAAUGCGUAGAUAUCAAGAGGAACACCAGUGGCGAAGGCGGCCUGCUGGACGAUGACUGACGUUGAGGCUCGAAAGCGUGGGGAGCAAACAGGAUUAGAUACCCUGGUAGUCCACGCCGUAAACGAUGACUACUAGGUGUCGGGUGGCAAA